rnacentral:rRNA from 1 species
UAUGUAGGGUGCGAGCGUUAAUCGGAAUUACUGGGCGUAAAGCGUGCGCAGGCGGAUUGUUAAGCAAGAUGUGAAAUCCCCGGGCUUAACCUGGGAAUGGCAUUUUGAACUGGCAAUCUAGAGUGUGUCAGAGGGGGGUAGAAUUCCACGUGUAGCAGUGAAAUGCGUAGAGAUGUGGAGGAAUACCGAUGGCGAAGGCGGCUUCCUGGCUUAAAACUGACACUGUGGCGCGAAAGCGUGGGUAGCAAACAGG